ensembl:lncRNA
CAGCUCAUGUGUGAGGGAAGAGACCCCCUCCAAUGAGAAGGGAGGCAGAGAGUGGGAAAAGUGGCAACUCGGGUACAAAGGAGCAAAGAACGGUGAUUCAUAAGGAGGGUGGGAGAGCCAGGCCUGCCUGCCUCCACGCCUGCCACAGUAUAGAUUCCACGCCUGGCACUUACUUGGCAGAUGAACCACGAGCGCACUGACUGCCAGCUUUAUAAAGGUUUCUGAACUUUGAGACAACAAGAUUGAUUCUGCAGGAAAGCACAGGCCUUGAACAAUCAGCUUUGGCCUCAGGCUACAGAACAGCUUCCCAUCUAUAUCCCUGUUUUCUUCAACUAAUAGCUCAAAGCAAGCUUGCACAGUAAAUCUCCUGUCCUGGCAUUCUGUCUCCGGUGCACAACAAAAGAAAGUAUGCUGCUGCUGAGAUAGCGUGUGACAUUGCGGAGUUCUUCUCAAGCUGUGUCGCGCUACAAGGGGCAACCACGAAAUGACCCGCCUGGCUCUACC